rnacentral:lncRNA from 1 species
UUAUUAAACUGCGAUUUUAUUAAUAAAGGAAAAGAAAAAAACCAAAGAAACCCUUGAGAGCACAGGAGAAGCAGACUAAGGGCCGAGCCUCGUUAAAACCUUUCUACGGAAAACCCAAAGGGAAAGACCGUAGAAAGGAAAAAGAGUGCCCGUAAAAAAAAACGAAAAGAAGGGGGGCGAGAGCGGAGGGUUAAUUUUCCGGAACUCCGGCCUAACCAUCGUCCCCAAACCAACCCG